rnacentral:rRNA from 1 species
ACGGGAGGCAGCAGUGGGGAAUCUUGCGCAAUGGGCGAAAGCCUGACGCAGCAACGCCGCGUGCGGGAUGACGGCCCUCGGGUUGUAAACCGCUUUCAGCAGGAACGAAUCUGACGGUACCUGCAGAAGAAGGUCCGGCCAACUACGUGCCAGCAGCCGCGGUAACACGUAGGGACCAAGCGUUGUCCGGAUUUAUUGGGCGUAAAGAGCUCGUAGGCGGUUCGGUAAGUCGGGUGUGAAAACUCUGGGCUCAACUCGGAGAGGCCACCCGAUACUGCCGUGACUCGAGUCCGGUAGGGGAGCACGGAAUUCCUGGUGUAGCGGUGAAAUGCGCAGAUAUCAGGAGGAACACCGGUGGCGAAGGCGGUGCUCUGGGCCGGUACUGACGCUGAGGAGCGAAAGCGUGGGUAGCAAACAGGAUUAGAUACCCUGGUA